rnacentral:lncRNA from 1 species
AAGCCAGAGGGCUCUGGUGACGGCACCUUGGUGACCGGUUUGCACUCUUCCCCAACAGCUGGAUGGGGACUUCGGAGGCGAGGGUGACCUGCCUGGAAGCGGAGCCCACAUGGAGAAGCCCCGCAUCCCUGCCCUACACAGCCGCCCAGGCCCGUUCCCCAGCACUGCUACCACUCCGUGCCUUACUCAAGAAUGACUUAACCCAUGCUGGGUUUGCUGGUGGUGGUGAGGGAAAGUAGGGACACUGCCCAUGUUGUCUGAGGGUCACACAGCAUUUACAUCACAAUUGGACAGGAGUUUAAAAAUGUCUGGUCCUCUCCCUCCCCACCACCUGUGGCUGUGUCCAGACGGAGAAUGUUCUAGCCCUGGAGGCAGCUGUGAAUGAAGUCCUUGGGGGGAAAAGAAGCAGGCCAAGGGCGAUGGUGGAGUAGAGCUGCCUCGUGGAGGCAGCAUGAGCUGAGAGGGUGACAAGAAGGAGGCGCUACACAGCAUGGAGGACUUUCUACUCUCCAAUGGGUACCAGCUGGGCAAGACCAUUGGGGAAGGGACCUACUCAAAAGUCAAAGAAGCAUUUUCCAAAAAACAUCAAAGAAAAGUGGCAAUUAAAAUUAUAGACAAGAUGGGAGGGCCAGAAGAAUGACAGAAAGCAAAUCAGAUUUCUGCCCUAAAUAGAAGGAUGUGGGGAAUCCAGGAUCCUCGCACCUUUCCAGAUCCACAAUGAAAGCACAAGGCUGCUGGGAGGAGGUUCCGAGGAUGAGCUAA